rnacentral:rRNA from 1 species
UUAAGUUAAUAAGGGCGCACGGUGGAUGCCUUGGCACUAGGAGCCGACGAAGGACGUGACAAACGACGAUAUGCCUUGGGUAGCUGUAAGUAAGCGAUGAUCCAGGGAUUUCCGAAUGGGGGAACCCAACAGGUAAUACCUGUUACCUACAUCUGUUAAGGAUGUGAGGAGGAAGACGCAGUGAACUGAAACAUCUAAGUAGCUGCAGGAAGAGAAAGCAAAAGCGAUUGCCUUAGUAGCGGCGAGCGAAACGGCAGAAGGGCAAACCGAAGAGUUUACUCUUCGGGGUUGUAGGACUGCAAUGUGGACUCAAAGAUUAUAGAAGAAUGAUUUGGGAAGAUCAGCCAAAGAGAGUAAUAGCCUCGUAUUUAAAAUAGUCUUUGUACUUAGCAGUAUCCUGAGUACGGCGGGACACGUGAAAUCCCGUCGGAAUCUGGGAGGACCAUCUCCCAACCCUAAAUACUCCCUAGUGACCGAUAGUGAACCAGUACCGUGAGGGAAAGGUGAAAAGCACCCCGGGAGGGGAGUGAAAUAGAACCUGAAACCGUGUGCCUACAACAAGUUCGAGCCCGUUAAUGGGUGAGAGCGUGCCUUUUGUAGAAUGAACCGGCGAGUUACGUUAUGAUGCGAGGUUAAGUUGAAGAGACGGAGCCGUAGGGAAACCGAGUCUGAAUAGGGCGCCUUAGUAUCAUGACGUAGACCCGAAACCAUGUGACCUACCCAUGAGCAGGUUGAAGGUGCGGUAAGACGCACUGGAGGACCGAACCAGGGCACGUUGAAAAGUGCUUGGAUGACUUGUGGGUAGCGGAGAAAUUCCAAACGAACUUGGAGAUAGCUGGUUCUCUCCGAAAUAGCUUUAGGGCUAGCGUCGACAUUAGAGAUUCUUGGAGGUAGAGCACUGUUUGGGUGAGGGGUCCAUCCCGGAUUACCAAUCUCAGAUAAACUCCGAAUGCCAAUGAAUUAUGGUCGGCAGUCAGACUGCGAGUGCUAAGAUCCGUAGUCGAAAGGGAAACAGCCCAGACCACCAGCUAAGGUCCCAAAAUAAUUGUUAAGUGGAAAAGGAUGUGGGGUUGCACAGACAACUAGGAUGUUAGCUUAGAAGCAGCUAUUCAUUCAAAGAGUGCGUAAUAGCUCACUAGUCGAGUGACCCUGCGCCGAAAAUGUACCGGGGCUAAAACAAUUUACCGAAGCUGUGGAUACCUUUAUAGGUAUGGUAGGAGAGCGUUCUAUGUGUGAUGAAGGUAUACCGUGAGGAGUGCUGGAACGCAUAGAAGUGAGAAUGCCGGUAUGAGUAGCGAAAGACAGGUGAGAAUCCUGUCCACCGUAAGACUAAGGUUUCCAGGGGAAGGCUCGUCCGCCCUGGGUUAGUCGGGACCUAAGGAGAGACCGAAAGGUGUAUCCGAUGGACAACAGGUUGAUAUUCCUGUACUAGAGUAUGUAGUGAUGGAGGGACGCAGUAGGCUAACUAAAGCAGACGAUUGGAAGAGUCUGUCUAAGCAGUGAGGUGUGAAUUGAGUCAAAUGCUUAAUUCUAUAACAUUGAGCUGUGAUGGGGAGCGAAGUUUAGUAGCGAAGUUAGUGACGUCACACUCUGCCAAGAAAAGCUUCUAGCGUUUAAACAUACUCUACCCGUACCGCAAACCGACACAGGUAGUCGAGGCGAGUAGCCUCAGGUGAGCGAGAGAACUCUCGUUAAGGAACUCGGCAAAAUGACCCCGUAACUUCGGGAGAAGGGGUGCUGACUUAAAGUCAGCCGCAGUGAAUAGGCCCAAGCAACUGUUUAUCAAAAACACAGCUCUCUGCUAAAUCGUAAGAUGAUGUAUAGGGGGUGACGCCUGCCCGGUGCUGGAAGGUUAAGAGGAGUGCUUAGCGUAAGCGAAGGUAUGAAUUGAAGCCCCAGUAAACGGCGGCCGUAACUAUAACGGUCCUAAGGUAGCGAAAUUCCUUGUCGGGUAAGUUCCGACCCGCACGAAAGGCGUAAUGAUUUGGGCACUGUCUCAACGAGAGACUCGGUGAAAUUUUAGUACCUGUGAAGAUGCAGGUUACCCGCGACAGGACGGAAAGACCCCAUGGAGCUUUACUGCAGUUUGAUAUUGAGUGUCUGUACCACAUGUACAGGAUAGGUAGGAGUCUAAGAGAUCGGGACGCCAGUUUCGAAGGAGACGCUGUUGGGAUACUACCCUUGUGUUAUGGCCACUCUAACCCAGAUAGGUGAUCCCUAUCGGAGACAGUGUCUGACGGGCAGUUUGACUGGGGCGGUCGCCUCCUAAAAGGUAACGGAGGCGCCCAAAGGUUCCCUCAGAAUGGUUGGAAAUCAUUCGCAGAGUGUAAAGGUAUAAGGGAGCUUGACUGCGAGAGCUACAACUCGAGCAGGGACGAAAGUCGGGCUUAGUGAUCCGGUGGUUCCGUAUGGAAGGGCCAUCGCUCAACGGAUAAAAGCUACCCUGGGGAUAACAGGCUUAUCUCCCCCAAGAGUUCACAUCGACGGGGAGGUUUGGCACCUCGAUGUCGGCUCGUCGCAUCCUGGGGCUGUAGUCGGUCCCAAGGGUUGGGCUGUUCGCCCAUUAAAGCGGCACGCGAGCUGGGUUCAGAACGUCGUGAGACAGUUCGGUCCCUAUCCGUCGCGGGCGUAGGAAAUUUGAGAGGAUCUGCUCCUAGUACGAGAGGACCAGAGUGGACUUACCGCUGGUGUACCAGUUGUCUUGCCAAAGGCAUCGCUGGGUAGCUAUGUAGGGAAGGGAUAAACGCUGAAAGCAUCUAAGUGUGAAACCCACCUCAAGAUGAGAUUUCCCAUGAUUAUAUAUCAGUAAGAGCCCUGAGAGAUGAUCAGGUAGAUAGGUUAGAAGUGGAAGUGUGGCGACACAUGUAGCGGACUAAUACUAAUAGCUCGAGGACUUAUCCAA